rnacentral:rRNA from 1 species
GUGGAUAAGACAUGCAAGUCGAACGGGACUUUUUUUGGUAGCAAUACUAGAGAAAGUUUAGUGGCGAACGGGUGCGUAACACGUGGGCAAUCUGCCGAGAAGUGGGGGAUAGCUCGCCGAAAGGCGAAUUAAUACCGCAUAUGAUCAGGGACGACAUCUUCCCAACAUCAAAGCCGGGGCAACCUGGCGCUUCUUGAUGAGCCCGCGGCCUAUCAGCUAGUUGGUGAGGUAACGGCCCACCAAGGCUACGACGGGUAGCUGGUCUGAGAGGACGACCAGUCACACUGGAACUGAGACACGGUCCAGACACCUACGGGUGGCAGCAGUCGAGAAUUUUUCUCAAUGGGGGCAACCCUGAAGGAGCGACGCCGCGUGAGGAUGAAGGCUUUCGGGUUGUAAACUCCUGUCAUUUGAGAACAAGUGGGACGCAGUAACUACGCGUCCCUUGAUAGUAUCAGAAGAGGAAGGGACGGCUAACUCUGUGCCAGCAGCCGCGGUAAUACAGAGGUCCCAAGCGUUGUUCGGAUUCAUUGGGCGUAAAGGGUGCGUAGGUGGCGUGGUAAGUCGGGUGUGAAAUUUCGGAGCUUAACUCCGAAACUGCAUUCGAUACUGCCGUGCUUGAGGACUGGAGAGGAGACUGGAAUUUACGGUGUAGCAGUGAAAUGCGUAGAGAUCGUAAGGAAGACCAGUGGCGAAGGCGGGUCUCUGGACAGUUCCUGACACUGAGGCACGAA